GCGCAACUUAGAUGCUGUGAUCCCCGAGGCGCGAUGUCGUGUGGCUCGCCAAUGCCUCGAGGGGAGCGAAUCGCGAAACCGGCUAAGUGGGGG
rnacentral:ncRNA from 1 species